AUACAGGUGGGCGCCUAUUUAAACUAAGACUAAAAAGUAUUCCUCUCGUUAUACAGGUGGGCGCCUAUUUAAACUAAGACUGAAAAGUAUUCCUCUCGUUAUACAGGUGGGCGCCUAUUUAAACUAAGACUGAAAAGUAUUCCUCUCGUUAUACAGGUGGGCGCCUAUUUAAACUAAGACAUGAAAAUUAUUCCUCUCGUUAUACAGGUGGGCGCCUAUUUAAACUAAGACUGAAAAAUAUUCCUCUCGUUAUACAAGUGGGCGCCUAUUUAAACUAAGACUGAAAAAUAUUCCUCUCGUUAUACAGGUGGGCGCCUAUUUAAACUAAGACUAAAAAGUAUUCCUCUCGUUAUACAGGUGGGCGCCUAUUUAAACUAAGACUGAAAAGUAUUCCUCUCGUUAUACAGGUGGGCGCCUAUUUAAACUA
rnacentral:lncRNA from 1 species